GACGAACGCUGGCGGCGUGCUUAACACAUGCAAGUCGAACGAAGUGGCGAACGGGUGAGUAACGCGUAAUACACCUGCCCUUCAGAGGGGGACAACAGUUGGAAACGACUGCUAAUACCGCAAACUGAAGGAGGGGAUUUUGUCGGAUUAGCUCGUUGGAGGGGUAACGGCUCACCAAGGCGAUGAUCAGUAGCCGGUCUGAGAGGAUGACCGGCCACAUUGGGACUGAGACACGGCCCAGACUCCUCCGGGAGGCAGCAGUGGGGAAUCGUCCGCAAUGGACGAAAGUCUGACGGAGCAACGCCGCGUGAGGGAUGACGGCCUUCGGGUUGGAAAGCUCUGUUAAUCGGGACGCGGUACCGGAAUAGAAAGCCACGGCUAACUACGUGCCAGCAGCCGCGUAAUUC
rnacentral:rRNA from 1 species